rnacentral:SRP_RNA from 1 species
CCUGUGUAAACUUUGUCAGGGCCGAAAGCAAG